rnacentral:rRNA from 1 species
GGUCAAGGAUGGACUCGCGGCCUAUCAGCUUGUUGGUGAGGUAAUGGCUCACCAAGGCGACGACGGGUAGCCGGCCUGAGAGGGUGACCGGCCACACUGGGACUGAGACACGGCCCAGACUCCUACGGGAGGCAGCAGUGGGGAAUAUUGCACAAUGGGCGCAAGCCUGAUGCAGCAACGCCGCGUGAGGGAUGACGGCCUUCGGGUUGUAAACCUCUUUUAGUAGGGAAGAAGCGAAAGUGACGGUACCUGCAGAAAAAGCACCGGCUAACUACGUGCCAGCAGCCGCGGUAAUACGUAGGGUGCAAGCGUUGUCCGGAAUUAUUGGGCGUAAAGAGCUCGUAGGCGGUUUGUCGCGUCUGCUGUGAAAACUGGAGGCUCAACCUCCAGCCUGCAGUGGGUACGGGCAGACUAGAGUGCGGUAGGGGAGAUUGGAAUUCCUGGUGUAGCGGUGGAAUGCGCAGAUAUCAGGAGGAACACCGAUGGCGAAGGCAGAUCUCUGGGCCGUAACUGACGCUGAGGAGCGAAAGCAUGGGGAGCGAACAGGAUUAGAUACCCUGGUAGUCCAUGCCGUAAACGUUGGGAACUAGAUGUGGGGACCAUUCCACGGUCUCCGUGUCGCAGC